AUAACUCUGCCACCGGGCAGGAAUGGAAAAGCAUUCAUUACUUAUCGUUAGGUCUUUGAAGAUAAGUACAUGGGUGCUUAUUUUUUC
rnacentral:ncRNA from 1 species